GUGGGGAAUAUUGGACAAUGGGCGAAAGCCUGAUCCAGCAAUGCCGCGUGAGUGAUGAAGGCCUUAGGGUUGUAAAGCUCUUUUACCAGGGAUGAUAAUGACAGUACCUGGAGAAUAAGCUCCGGCUAACUCCGUGCCAGCAGCCGCGGUAAUACGGAGGGAGCUAGCGUUGUUCGGAAUUACUGGGCGUAAAGCGCGCGUAGGCGGUUUAUCAAGUCAGGGGUGAAAUCCCGGGGCUCAACCCCGGAACUGCCCUUGAAACUGGUUCACUAGAAUCCUGGAGAGGCGAGUGGAAUUCCGAGUGUAGAGGUGAAAUUCGUAGAUAUUCGGAAGAACACCAGUGGCGAAGGCGACUCGCUGGACAGGUAUUGACGCUGAGGUGCGAAAGCGUGGGGAGCAAACAGGAUUAGAUACCCGGGUAGUCC
rnacentral:rRNA from 1 species